UUUUUUUUUUUUUUUUUUUCAGAUCAAGGCAAAUUCCAGCUUCAGUUUACUGUACUUCUCCUUUUUGAUGAAGAUAUCCUGUAACAAAAGACAAAUCACAUCACACUCAUUGUAUCUAUUUCCUCUUAUAUCCAAAUUUAAGUAUGCUUUUGUUGUAAAAUAUUCUUACAGAUAUCAUGUGCUUUACACUUCAGCAAGGAUUUACUGUUGAAAAGUUUAGUUUUCUAAAAGCAGCUUAUCAGGCAGGACUUAGAGCAUUUGCAAGACAGAGUUUUGAUUAGUUUCCUUUUCGGGUUUUUGGCAAAUUCUGUAAAGUCAGUAGUACAAAACCAGCCCUUGGUUAUUAGUCUGCUCCCAUGGGGAUGAUUUGUGCUUCGUUUCCAUCUUCAUUAUUUUCACUAUUUUGCAUUGUUUCCCAGAGAAGUUCUUCAUACCCCAUAGAAUCAUAAGUAACUAACACAGCUAUUGCUAAGUCACAGGAUUUUUAACAAUGUUCACCUCUGUGGCAGAUGUGUAUGGAUAAUUAAACUGAAGCCUGGGAACAGUUUGAUUUCUGCAGUGACGGCGUGUGCUGCAGGGAGGAACUCAACAGCAACACAAAGCCUUUUAAUCUAAAGCAACAUUCAGGACACCGAUUACCAGAACAGUGUGAUUCUGCUACAGAUUUAUUUCCUUGCUGAUAGCAAACUAUAUUAUCUGAAGGACAGUCAUGUUUUGGAAUAGAGAAAAUGCUGCUGCAGAACAGAUUUUACUGGGAAAACUUGACCUGGAGUAGAAAAA